CCUACGGGAGGCAGCAGUAAGGAAUAUUGGUCAAUGGACGAAAGUCUGAACCAGCCAUGCCGCGUGAAGGAUGAAGGUCCUCUGGAUUGUAAACUUCUUUUAUCUGGGACGAAAAAAGGGCUUUCUAGCUCACUUGACGGUACCAGAGGAAUAAGCACCGGCUAACUCCGUGCCAGCAGCCGCGGUAAUACGGAGGGUGCAAGCGUUAUCCGGAUUUACUGGGUUUAAAGGGUGCGUAGGUGGGCAAUUAAGUCAGUGGUGAAAUCUCUGGGCUUAACCCGGAAACUGCCAUUGAUACUAUUUGUCUUGAAUAUCCUGGAGGUAAGCGGAAUAUGUCAUGUAGCGGUGAAAUGCUUAGAUAUGACAUAGAACACCCAUUGCGAAGGCAGCUUACUACAGGAUUAUUGACACUGAGGCACGAAAGCGUGGGGAUCAAACAGGAUUAGAUACCCUGGUAGUCCACGCCCUAAACGAUGGAUACUCGACAUCAGCGAUACACUGUUGGUGUCUGAGCGAAAGCAUUAAGUAUCCCACCUGGAAGUACGACCGCAAGGUUGAACUCAAAUGAAUUGACGGCGNGAGACGAGACGAGACGACGACGAGGGAGGAGG
rnacentral:rRNA from 1 species